rnacentral:rRNA from 1 species
GACGAAUGCUGGCGGCGUGCUUAACACAUGCAAGUCGAACGGGCCUGUCUUCUUUUUUGGGGGGUGGGUUGAGUGGCGAACGGGUGAGUAUCACGUGAGUAACCUGCCCUUCGGUCCUGGAUAACCGCUUGAAAGGGCGGCUAAUACGGGGUGGUCCGGUUGGUCCGCAUGGGCUGGUCGGGAUAGAUUCACUGUUUUUGGUGUUUCGGCGGGGGAUGGGCUCGCGGCCUAUCAGCUUGUUGGUGGGGUGAUGGCCUACCAAGGCGGUGACGGGUAGCCGGCCUGAGAGGGUGGGCGGCCACACUGGGACUGAGAUACGGCCCAGACUCCUGCGGGAGGCAGCAGUGGGGGGUAUUGCACAAUGGGCGGAAGCCUGAUGCAGCGACGUCGCGUGAGGGAUGGAGGCCUUCGGGUUGUGAACCUCUGUUUCCGGUGGUGAAGGCCCUGUCCGUGUGGUGGGGUUGACGGUAGCCGGGGAUGAAGCGCCGGCUAACUACGUG